rnacentral:rRNA from 1 species
UACGAAGGGGGCUAGCGUUGCUCGGAAUCACUGGGCGUAAAGCGCACGUAGGCGGCUUUCUAAGUCGGGGGUGAAAUCCUGGAGCUCAACUCCAGAACUGCCUUCGAUACUGGAGAGCUUGAGUCCGGGAGAGGUGAGUGGAACUGCGAGUGUAGAGGUGAAAUUCGUAGAUAUUCGCAAGAACACCAGUGGCGAAGGCGGCUCACUGGCCCGGUACUGACGCUGAGGUGCGAAAGCGUGGGGAG